rnacentral:rRNA from 1 species
AACUCCAAGAAUACGCGGAGGAGGUGGCCCGGGUCGGCGUCGGCGCCGUCCGUCGCGGGCCACGGGCCCGCUUCCAAGUGCGUCUGUGCGCCGGCCACCCACGCCGGGUUCAAGUGCCCCUUCCACCGCACCAACUCCCAGGGCCAGGGAAGCCGCCCUUCUUCGCCCCCUUCACCGGCCGCGGCCAACGCGGUGCCGCGGCACCCGGCCUCGCCGUCCUCGUCCUCCGGCACCGUCGCGACCCAGUGA